CCCUUAGAUGUUCUGGGCCGCACGCGCGCUACAAUGGUCUUCGCAAACGGAUGCAUUCUCGAAGGAGAAUGCCAAUCUUGGAAUCUAUGCCUUGGUCGGGACAGUUGCUUGCAAUUUUUCGACUCGAACCAGGAAUUCCUUGUAAUCGUGAUUCAUCACAUCACGAUGAAUACGUCCCUGCCCUUUGUACACACCGCCCGUCGCUCCUACCGAUCGAAGAGUUAGGUGAAUUGUUUUGCUCGAUAAGAUUUGACUAUGGUCAACUCUCGUUGUGAAAUUCUGUGAAUCUGACUGUUUAGAGGAAGGAAAAGUCGUAACA
rnacentral:rRNA from 1 species